rnacentral:rRNA from 1 species
GCAUAUCAAUAAGCGGAAGGAAAAAGAAACUAACAAGGAUUUUCCCCUAGUAAACUGCGAGUGAAGCGGGAAAAGCUCAAAUUUAAAAUCUGGCAGCUUUGGCUGUCCGAGUUGUAGUCUGGAGAAGCGUUUUCUGUGCUGGACCGUGUACAAGUCUCUUGGAAUAGAGCGUCAUAGAGGGUGAGAAUCCCGUCUUUGACACGGACUGCCAGUGCUAUGUGAUGCGCUCUCAAAGAGUCGAGUUGUUUGGGAAUGCAGCUCAAAAUGGGUGGUAAAUUCCAUCUAAAGCUAAAUAUUGGCGAGAGACCGAUAGCGAACAAGUACCGUGAGGGAAAGAUGAAAAGCACUUUGGAAAGAGAGUUAAACAGUACGUGAAAUUGUUGAAAGGGAAACGAUUGAAGUCAGUCGCGUCUUCUAGAACUCAGCCUGGCUUUUGCUUGGUGCAUUUUCUAGUGACGGGCCAGCAUCAGUUUCGACCGCUGGAUAAAGGCUUCGGGAAUGUGGCACCUUCGGGUGUGUUAUAGCCCGGAGUCACAUACAGCGGUUGGGACUGAGGAUCACAGCAUGCCUUUUGGCCGGGGUUCGCCCACGUUCAUGCUUAGGAUGCUGGCGUAAUGGCUUUAAACGACCCGUCUUGAAACACGGACCAAGGAGUCUAACAUGCCUGCGAGUGUUUGGGUGGUAAACCCGAGCGCGUAAUGAAAGUGAAAGUUGGGAUCCCUGUCGUGGGGAGCACCGACGCCCGGACCAGACCUUCUGUGACGGAUCCGCGGUAGAGCAUGUAUGUUGGGACCCGAAAGAUGGUGAACUAUGCCUGAAUAGGGUGAAGCCAGAGGAAACUCUGGUGGAGGCUCGUAGCGAUUCUGACGUGCAAAUCGAUCGUCGAAUUUGGGUAUAGGGCGAAAGACUAAUCGA